rnacentral:rRNA from 1 species
GACGAACGCUGGCGGCGUGCCUAACACAUGCAAGUCGAACGGAGAGUUCAUUGAGGAGGCUUCGGCCAACGAGGUGAAUUUCUUAGUGGCGGACGGGUGAGUAACGCGUGAGCAAUCUGCCUUUCAGAGGGGGGAUAACGUUCUGAAAAGAACGCUAAUACCGCAUAACGUAUUUGGGUGGCAUCAUCCGGAUACCAAAGGAGCAAUCCGCUGAAAGAUGAGCUCGCGUCUGAUUAGAUAGUUGGUGGGGUAACGGCCUACCAAGUCGACGAUCAGUAGCCGGACUGAGAGGUUGAACGGCCACAUUGGGACUGAGACACGGCCCAGACUCCUACGGGAGGCAGCAGUGGGGAAUAUUGCACAAUGGAGGAAACUCUGAUGCAG